GAUGAAGAACGUAGCGAAAUGCGAUAAGUAAUGUGAAUUGCAGAAUUCAGUGAAUCAUCGAAUCUUUGAACGCACCUUGCGCCCCUUGGUUAUUCCAAAGGGCAUGCCUGUUUGAGUAUCAUGAACACCUCAACUCUUGUGGUUUCCCACAAUGAGCUUGGAUUGUGGAGGUUUUGUUGGCCCUGUGGUCAGCUCCUCUCAAAUGGAUCAGCUUACCGGUGUUUGGUGGCAUUACGGGUGUGAUAACUAUCUACGCUCGUGGUCGUCUCCAAAUAACCUCCAGUGAUGGAGGUUCGCUGGAGCUUAUAAAUGUCUCUCCCCAGUGAAGACAGCCUUUGAACGUUCGAUCUCAAAUCAGGUAGGACUACCCGCUGAACUUAAGCAUAUCAAUAAGCGGAGGA
rnacentral:misc_RNA from 1 species